rnacentral:rRNA from 1 species
AGAGUUUGAUCAUGGCUCAGAUUGAACGCUGGCGGCAGGUCUAACACAUGCAAGUCGAACGGUAACAGGAAGAAGCUUGCUUCUUUGCUGACGAGUGGCGGACGGGUGAGUAAUGUCUGGGAAACUGCCUGAUGGAGGGGGAUAACUACUGGAAACGGUAGCUAAUACCGCAUAACGUCGCAAGACCAAAGAGGGGGACCUUCGGGCCUCUUGCCAUCGGGUGUGCCCAGAUGGGAUUAGCUAGUAGGUGGGGUAACGGCUCACCUAGGCGACGAUCCCUAGCUGGUCUGAGAGGAUGACCAGCCACACUGGAACUGAGACACGGUCCAGACUCCUACGGGAGGCAGCAGUGGGGAAUAUUGCACAAUGGGCGCAAGCCUGAUGCAGCCAUGCCGCGUGUAUGAAGAAGGCCUUCGGGUUGUAAAGUACUUUCAGCGGGGAGGAAGGGAGUAAAGUUAAUACCUUUGCUCAUUGACGUUACCCGCAGAAGAAGCACCGGCUAACUCCGUGCCAGCAGCCGCGGUAAUACGGAGGGUGCAAGCGUUAAUCGGAAUUACUGGGCGUAAAGCGCACGCAGGCGGUUUGUUAAGUCAGAUGUGAAAUCCCCGGGCUCAACCUGGGAACUGCAUCUGAUACUGGCAAGCUUGAGUCUCGUAGAGGGGGGUAGAAUUCCAGGUGUAGCGGUGAAAUGCGUAGAGAUCUGGAGGAAUACCGGUGGCGAAGGCGGCCCCCUGGACGAAGACUGACGCUCAGGUGCGAAAGCGUGGGGAGCAAACAGGAUUAGAUACCCUGGUAGUCCACGCCGUAAACGAUGUCGACUUGGAGGUUGUGCCCUUGAGGCGUGGCUUCCGGAGCUAACGCGUUAAGUCGACCGCCUGGGGAGUACGGCCGCAAGGUUAAAACUCAAAUGAAUUGACGGGGGCCCGCACAAGCGGUGGAGCAUGUGGUUUAAUUCGAUGCAACGCGAAGAACCUUACCUGGUCUUGACAUCCACGGAAGUUUUCAGAGAUGAGAAUGUGCCUUCGGGAACCGUGAGACAGGUGCUGCAUGGCUGUCGUCAGCUCGUGUUGUGAAAUGUUGGGUUAAGUCCCGCAACGAGCGCAACCCUUAUCCUUUGUUGCCAGCGGUCCGGCCGGGAACUCAAAGGAGACUGCCAGUGAUAAACUGGAGGAAGGUGGGGAUGACGUCAAGUCAUCAUGGCCCCUUACGACCAGGGCUACACACGUGCUACAAUGGCGCAUACAAAGAGAAGCGACCUCGCGAGAGCAAGCGGACCUCAUAAAGUGCGUCGUAGUCCGGAUUGGAGUCUGCAACUCGACUCCAUGAAGUCGGAAUCGCUAGUAAUCGUGGAUCAGAAUGCCACGGUGAAUACGUUCCCGGGCCUUGUACACACCGCCCGUCACACCAUGGGAGUGGGUUGCAAAAGAAGUAGGUAGCUUAACCUUCGGGAGGGCGCUUACCACUUUGUGAUUCAUGACUGGGGUGAAGUCGAAACAAGGUA